GUAGGUGGCGAGCGUUAUCCGGAAUUAUUGGGCGUAAAGAGGGAGCAGGCGGCACUAAGGGUCUGUGGUGAAAGAUCGAAGCUUAACUUCGGUAAGCCAUGGAAACCGUAGAGCUAGAGUGUGUGAGAGGAUCGUGGAAUUCCAUGUGUAGCGGUGAAAUGCGUAGAUAUAUGGAGGAACACCAGUGGCGAAGGCGACGAUUUGGCGCAAAACUGACGCUCAGUCCCGAAAGCGUGGGGAGCAAAUAGGAUUAGAUACCCUAGUAGUCCACGCCGUAAACGAUGAGUACUAAGUGUUGGGGGUCAAAGCUCAGUGCUGCAGUUAACGCAAUUAGUACUCCGCCUGAGUAGU
rnacentral:rRNA from 1 species